AAGGGGAAGGUGUACAGGACAGGGGUCAGACCGGCCAUGCUGUAUGGUUUAGAGACAGUGUCACUGAAGAAGAGCCAAAAGAAGAAGAAGAAGCUCUAAUCCACUGGGGGCUUGGUUUAAGGGUGGGCCUUCACGGGUUUAGUAAUAAAAUUCCAACAAUAUUUAGCGGAUCUCUAGAAGCCCAUGAGCAUGAAUAUUAGUAAACUUUAUAUAGCCUAUGUUUCUGUUACUCUGCAUUUACUCCAAGGCCUUCAGUAGGAGGAGUUAAGGCUGAUGAGGUUGAGAAAUAAUUAGAGAAAUGAGAAGCACACCCUUGCUGAUCUUGACAUUGAUCAUACAUCGAGUUGCAAUCCACAGCAUAACUGCUUGAUAUAAGAUCUGGUUUUAUCUUCUAUCUUCUGCUUGCAGCUUUAUCAGGGGAGUUAUUUUGUGCCACACAGCUGGCUGAUUGGAAAGAAGCUUCUAUGGCCACCAUAUCCACCCAAAGACACAGCCAAGGUACGGGCUGCAGUUAAAAAAUUAGCUGCCUACUGAAGAAUGGUUGUCCUAUGAACCUGUUAGACACCUUCCACAUAUGAAGAAGGUGAGAAGAGUUUUAAAAGAAAACUGUGACAAAACUGACAUUCAUCUGAUGAAGAAACUGAGAAGUUUGAAAAAAGAAAAUCUAGUCUCCAACAAAAUGCAGGAUCCUGUUCAAUCAGCUUCCAGAGUCAAGACCUCUGUCCAGCCUUCUAUCAAAAUUCUGCCUAACUAUCCUUUGGAGUCCUCUGACCAGAUGUUCAUCAAUUCUCCAUAUUUGACCAUGUCAAGCAACUCAUCAGCCCUGCCUGCCAUGUACCCCAGCCAGGAACCAUGUUCCAAGGAUCAAGAGGGUAUAAAUUCCAGAAGUGAUUUGACAGUUUUGCAAUCAGACCAAUAAUUGCUUUGAGUGUGCAAGUGAUUCUGCCAGACAGUUAAUGAAAGGCAAGAGCAGAGACGUUUUCCUACUUUCCUUAUACAGUAUGCAUGUUAAAUAUAUUUUGAAACAUAAUGUUUUUAUUCUCCACAAGAUGUUGCUUUACAAAAGUUGUUUGGAACUGUCACAGAACUUGUAAAAGAAGUCAAGGAACUCCAGGAGGAAUGUCAGAAUUCUUCAGACAGUCUUUGCCCAUGCUUUUAUGUAGACCUUUUUUUAUUAAUCCGUUUUUGGGACAUUUGGCAUGUUCUCUCUGCUUUGUGUACAAAUUUUGUAUGGCAGGUGAGACACUUUAUCAUAAUUGAAGGAACCUCACUGGAAAUGAGGGUCCGUUGCAUACUUUACUGUGCACUGACCAAUGAGCUGGCAUCAUCAAUAAAUUGGGCUGGGAAGAUGGUUAAAGAGCAGUCAAAGCAAAAGAGGGCAUUCAAGGUUACUUUCUUGAAUAUGUGUAUAUUUGGUGAGUUAUAAUGAUCAAUGAUUUGAAUUGUCCUUCUGCCUUUGUGUUCCCAGAAAUCUAGCUUACACUAUCCAAUAUUUCCCUCUUCCAGUGCCUCCAUUAAUUUAUUCAAUUGUAUACAUUUUAUAUCCUGUUGUUUUUGUUUUGUUUUCAGAUGCUUUGACUUUGCAGAUGAGUGUGGCAAUAUUUUCCCAAUAUGAAUCAGGCAGUCCAGAAAUGGCUCCGAUAUGGGUGCCUCCAGAAAUAUUUAUUUUGUCAUUUUAUUUAUUUAUUUAUUUUGCUUCACUUUUGAAUCUGUAUGAUUUUUUUCCCCUUUUUUUCCAUGAUAUAGUAUGAAGUGCUUUCAGUUGAUUGAAUUAAAAGACAGCAAAAAAAAUAAAUAAAUAAGAAUGUGAUUGAACCAGUAGAAAGGUGUUUUUCUUUUCUUUUUUUAUUAUAGUAGUUUGAAUAUU